GAUGAACGCUAGCGGGAGGCUUAACACAUGCAAGUCGAGGGGCAGCAUAGGGUAGCAAUACUCUGAUGGCGACCGGCAAACGGGUGAGUAACGCGUAUGCAACCUACCCUGUACAGGGGGAUAACCCGGAGAAAUUCGGACUAAUAUCCCGUAAUAAUAUCCGGAGGCAUCUUUGGAUAUUUAAAGUUCCGACGGUACGGGAUGGGCAUGCGUAACAUUAGCUGGUUGGUAAGGUAACGGCUUACCAAGGCUAUGAUGUUUAGGGGUCCUGAGAGGGUGGUCCCCCACACUGGUACUGAGACACGGACCAGACUCCUACGGGAGGCAGCAGUGAGGAAUAUUGGUCAAUGGGCGCAAGCCUGAACCAGCCAUCCCGCGUGCAGGAAGACGGCCCUAUGGGUUGUAAACUGCUUUUCCAGGGAGAGAAACUUGCGCACGUGUUGCGCAAUUGACGGUACCCUGGGAAUAAGCAUCGGCUAACUCCGUG
rnacentral:rRNA from 1 species